rnacentral:rRNA from 1 species
GGCCACAUCACGUUGAAAUACCGGUUCCCGUACGAUCAUUGAAGUUAAGCAACGUAGAUCCUGGUCAGUACCUAGAUGGGUGUCCGCUUGGAAAUACCAAGUGCUGUAA